GACUCUCGGCAACGGAUAUCUCGGCUCUCGCAUCGAUGAAGAACGUAGCAAAAUGCGAUACUUGGUGUGAAUUGCAGAAUCCCGUGAACCAUCGAGUCUUUGAACGCAAGUUGCGCCCAAAGCCAUCCGGCCGAGGGCACGCCUGCCUGGGCGUCACGCAUCG
rnacentral:rRNA from 1 species